rnacentral:rRNA from 1 species
UACGUAGGGGGCUAGCGUUGUCCGGAAUCAUUGGGCGUAAAGCGCGUGUAGGCGGUUCGGUAAGUCCGCUGUGAAAGUCGGGGGCUCAACCCUCGGAAGCCGGUGGAUACUGUCGGGCUAGAGUGCGGAAGAGGCGAGUGGAAUUCCUGGUGUAGCGGUGAAAUGCGCAGAUAUCAGGAGGAACACCGAUUGCGAAGGCAGCUCGCUGGGACGUCACUGACGCUGAGACGCGAAAGCGUGGGGAGCAAACAGG